CGAGACCCACGCCCACAGUUGCCAGCGUACUCUCUGGAGUGACGGGUACACUGUGGGGACCGCCGCUGCUAAGCGGAGGAAGGAAUGGGCAACGGUAGGUCAGUAUGCCCCGAAUAUCCCGGGCUACACGCGAGCUACAAUGGUUGGUACAAUGGGUAUCUACCCCGAAAGGGGACGGGAAUCUCCUAAAACCAAUCUUAGUUCGGAUUGAGGGCUGCAACUCGCCCUCAUGAAGCUGGAAUCCAUAGUAAUCGCGUUUCAACAGAACGCGGUGAAUACGUCCCUGCUCCUU
rnacentral:rRNA from 1 species